UACGUAGGUGGCAAGCGUUGUCCGGAAUUAUUGGGCGUAAAGAGCGUGUAGGCGGUUUGGUAGGUCCGUUGUGAAAACUCGAGGCUCAACCUCGAGACGCCGAUGGAAACCAUCAGACUAGAGUCCGGAAGAGGAGAGUGGAAUUCCUGGUGUAGCGGUGAAAUGCGCAGAUAUCAGGAAGAACACCCGUGGCUAAGGCGGCUCUCUAGUACGGUACUGACGCUGAGACGCGAAAGCGUGGGGAGCGAACAGG
rnacentral:rRNA from 1 species